AAUCAGUUAUGGUUCCUUAGAUCGUUCAUACUACAUGGAUAACUGUGGUAAUUCUAGAGCUAAUACAUGCAAAAAGCUCCGACCGUAUGGGAAGAGCGCUUUUAUUAGACCAAAACCAAUGGGGUCGCAAGAUCCCUUUGUAUGGUGACUCUGGAUAACUUUGUGCUGAUCGCAUGGCCUAGAGCCGGCGACGUAUCUUUCAAGUGUCUGCCCUAUCAACUUUCGAUGGUAAGCGAUUUGCCUACCAUGGUUGUAACGGGUAACGGGGAAUCAGGGUUCGAUUCCGGAGAGGGAGCAUGAGAAAUGGCUACCACAUCUACGGAAGGCAGCAGGCGCGCAAAUUACCCACUCCUAGAACGGGGAGGUAGUGACGAAAAAUAACAAUACCGGACUCAAUGAGGCUCGGUAAUUGAAAUGAGUACAGUUUAAAACCCUUAACGAGGAUCUAUUGGAGGGCAAGUCUGGUGCCAGCAGCCGCGGUAAUUCCAGCUCCAAUAGCGUAUAUUAAAGUUGUUGCAGUUAAAAAGCUCGUAGUUGGAUCUCGGGUACUAGCAUGUGGUACGCUUAAUUGCUGUUACUACAUGUCUGGUCCUAAUCAACCGGUUGGCCGUUGAUGCCCUUUAUUGGGUGUUUUCGGUAGCCGGUACGUUUACUUUGAGAAAAUUAGAGUGCUUAAAGCAGGCCUUACGCCUGAAUAAUGUUGCAUGGAAUAAUAGAAUAGGACCUCGGUUCUAUUUUGUUGGUUUUGUAGAGCAUUGAGGUAAUGAUUAAUAGGGACAGACGGGGGCAUUCGUAUUGCGGUGUUAGAGGUGAAAUUCUUGG
rnacentral:rRNA from 1 species